rnacentral:sRNA from 1 species
GCUGGGUGUGGUGGUGCAUGCUUGUAAUCCCAGCAGCUCGGGAAGCUGAGAAAGGGGGAUUGUAAGUUAAAGUCCAGCCUCAGCAACUUAGUGAGGCCCUAUCUCAA